rnacentral:rRNA from 1 species
AGCGAACGCUGGCGGCAGGCCUAACACAUGCAAGUCGAACGAACCUUUCGGGGUUAGUGGCGGACGGGUGAGUAACACGUGGGAACGUGCCUUUAGGUUCGGAAUAACCCAGGGAAACUUGUGCUAAUACCGAAUGUGCCCCUCGGGGGAAAGAUUUAUCGCCUUUAGAGCGGCCCGCGUCUGAUUAGCUAGUUGGUUGAGGUAAUGGCUCACCAAGGCGACGAUCAGUAGCUGGUCUGAGAGGAUGAUCAGCCACAUUGGGACUGAGACACGGCCCAAACUCCUACGGGAGGCAGCAGUGGGGAAUCUUGCGCAAUGGGCGAAAGCCUGACGCAGCCAUGCCGCGUGAAUGAUGAAGGUCUUAGGAUUGUAAAAUUCUUUCACCGGGGACGAUAAUGACGGUACCCGGAGAAGAAGCCCCGGCUAACUUCGUG